CUCUUUAGAAUAGGACUAGCUCCUAAUACACGGAUAGAAGAGCCAUCACACUUCUUUACAAGUCAUAACAAUGACAAUAAUGACAAUAACUAAUAUUUACUCAAUGCUCACUCUGUGCUGAGCCUUCUACCAAAUGCUCUGUGGGCACUGUCUAUUUAAUCGUCACAUGAAUAUGCUGGGGUCAUCACCAUGAUUCCCACUUUCAAGAUGAGAUAACCAAGACUUUGAAAUGUUAAGACUCAUCCAUAGACACUGCUGGAAAGAUCUGGGACACCACAUACUGCUGAGCCCACUGGGGCAUGGUAGAGCUGAUGUGCUUCACCAACUAGACCUCUCUAACAUCCUCUGUCUCCCCAUGACCUGAACCAACGGGAUCCCCAAGCCUGGCUGUGCACAAGAAGUCCCUAUGGAGUUUGUCAAAAAUAAGAUGCUCAGGGCCAGUGUUCACCUACUGAAUCAGAGUGUUCUAGUCCACAGCCCACAAAUCUGUCUUAAAACAACCUCCUUGGGUGCUGUUCAUGGAUACUGGGCCUGGGAACCCCUGUUUAAGGCUGUUGACUUUUUCCGGUGGCUAGAGCCAACGAGUCUAAGCUUUGAGGCCUCCUGCCCUUCUCUUGCCUUCCAAGUGGGCUGCUUCUGUAGUUCUAUGAGAGCAAGGGUGCUGUGUUGGGGCUAGAGUCUUGUAAGAUGCCUGGUUGCUUAAGAAAAUUCAGACUUCUGGGGCACCUGGGUGGCCCAGUCGGUUAAACAUCUGACUCUUGAUUUUGGCUCAGAUCAUGAUCCCACAGGUUAGUGGAAUCGAGCCCCGCGUCAGGCUAUGUGCUGACAGCGUGGAGCCUGCUUGGGAUUCUUAGAUCAUGGUUUUGUUAGGGGCAGAUAGAAAGCUGAUAAACAAUCCAUUUGUUCUAUUACAGUAGCUCCUAGCCACACCACUGGAGUUAAGCCUCCAUGCUCAUUUCCUUGGGGUAAGAUCUCUCUCUACCCCUCCCCCCCACUCACUCUCUCUCUCUCUCUCUCUCAAAAUAAAUAAAUAAAUGUUAAAAAAAAAUGAAAGAAAGAAAAGAAAAGAAAAGAAAAGAAAAGAAAAUUCAGACUUCUUGGCCCUCCUGCCCAGAGGGAGAGUUGUUAUAUACAAGUAGAGGCCAGGUGGUCAGGAGACGGGGGAAGACACAGCUACUGCCAGCUGCCCCAGCCUCUCCUUUCUGAGAAGUCACUCAGACCCCUGUCAGGCAGCUGUCCUCCUGCCAGGAGAGAGACAUUCUUCCAUGUAUGGCCAUCAAGAUUCUAGUCAGUUGGUGAGUCAAGUCCCCAACAGCUUGGUCAAUAUUAUUGAACUGACUUCACAGCAUCCCAGGGAAGGCAGAGCCAAGGAAGGUGAGCCAGAGGAGGGGCUGAGAGUCUGCCUGGUCAUUUGAUAGAUGUGAAACUGAGGCCCAGAAGGGGAGAGAGAAGGGAAGUAUCUGUAUUUUGACCCCUAUUUAUCUAUAAGAAAAUUCAGGCUCAAAGAGAUGUUGAGAGGCUUACCCUGAAUCAAAUAGUGUUAAGUAGGCAAGUAGGUUAUUUAGUUAGAAUGGCCUUCAGGUUUACCGAAUGAGCUUUCUGUACUACGUGAACAUCUCUUUCUCUCUCUGUUUCUCUGGUACCUAAUCAGUAUGAUUAGGUAGCUCUGGAAAAUACGACACCUGUGUCAGUGGGUACAGAAUUAUUUGGGAAGUCAUUCUCACCAAGCAUUACACAUAUUGCCUACACUUCGUCUUUACAUAUCCACGUCCAGAACUGGGAUUGAAGAACACACUGCUGGGUCCAAGCACAUGUUGAAUCCGGGGCUUGCCAAAGCCUGGGUUUCUGACUCAUUUCUCUUUCCAUAAUCAUAUCCAACUGAUCAUUAUUAAAUGGUUCUUCAGCUUUGUCAGUUCCACCAUUACUCAAUCCACCCCCUUUUUCAAAAUAUAUUUUUUAAAUUUUUUUAAGAGAGACAGAGCACGAGCAGGGGAGAGGGGCAGAGGGAGAGGGAGAGAAAGAGAGAGAGAGACAGAAAGACAGAGAGAGAAUCUUAAGCAGGCUCCACAUUUAGCACAAAGCCCAAGAAAGGGCUUGAUCCCAUGCCCCUGGGAUCAUGACCUAAGCCAAAAUCAAGAGUCAGAUGCUCAACUGACUGAGCCACCCAGGUGGCCCUUAAAAUAUAUUUUAAAAUUAUAGACAAAUCAAGUGCCACAUAGUUUCUUGCCUAUGUUGUAAAAUCUCCAGUUUUCAGGAAAAUAACAGCCAAUAUUCAUCGAGCAUUUCCUAUAUACCAGGCACUAUUCCAAGCAUUAUACGUGCCUUCUAUUACUGAACUUUUGCAACAACCUUUUGACGUAGGUACUAUUAUUAUCCCUAGUUUAUACAGCAAGGAAUCUGAAACUCAGAGAAGGUCUGUAACUUACCUAAGGUCCUACAGCUGGGAUUCAAAUCUGGGCAGACUUCCUCUAGGACCUGCCCCUUUCACUGUAGUGUCUCUCAUACUUCUGGAAAUAAGAUUUGAGAUAUUGAGAACCAUCUACCUUAUUAAAAUGUCAAUGAACAUUUAUUGGGUGCCUUUGGUAAGGAAAGUCCUAUAGUAUUUACAAAGGUGAUUUAAGAGAUAGCCCUUCCUCUUACAGUGAGUCAAGCAGGUAUUCAGUUAAUAUAAUAAAAGGCAGACUGUCCUAAAGACCACACUGGAGGCAGAGAUAAAGCGUGAUAAAAACACAUGAAAAGGAUAGUCAAUAAGCAGGCAAUCAACAAGGACUUCCUGGAGGAGGUGGCCUAAGUAAUUUCCUUAAAUGACAAAUAAGGCACUACUAGUAGAGAUGGGGGAGUACAGUCCCCAUCUGCCAGGCAGUGUGGUAUAAUGAGUGGGCUCCAAUCCAGAUGUCAUCACUUACUAGCUAUGCAGCUUCAUCUGUGAGCCCUGCGCUCCUCAUUUGUAGUCACAUGGACCCUUCAGAGCCAUGCUGAUUGUGGUGGGCAUAAUGCAUAUGAAAAUCUAGAACAUCACACAGGAGGGGCUCACUGAUGUGCUGUUCCCUUUUAAGUUCACUGAGUCAUUUCAGAACGCAGUGCUCUGGGGCCGCCGUCCAACAAAGCCUGGUCUGUGUUCCUCUGAGAAAGCACUCUCGUCAAAGCUCUGCUUCAGUCAAAUAUUCAAAAGCAGACCACUUCAACUCACAACAGGGUUUGUAAAGGAAAUGAGCAUGGAGGCUUAACUCCAGUGGUGUGGCUAGGAGCUACUGUAAUAGAACAAAUGGAUUGUUUAUCAGCUUUCUAUCUGCCCCUAACAAAACCAUGUGAAAUGAGGCAUUAAACUCCGGGUUUUUUAAAAAGAUGACAAACACUGGCUAAUUUACUGGAGUAGAACAUAGGGAGUCAAAUGUUUAGUUUUGCAUUAAAUCUAUAUCUAGCAUUUUCAUUAAAAGGGGCAAAAUGUAGACUUUAUUGAUGCUUCAGUGCCCAUUUCAGAUUAAUGCCUAACAUUUAAAACUGUGCGUGAAAUUGCAAAUGUAUCAGCAAACACACAAGAAGGACCAGACUAAGUGCUGUGUGCUUAUUCAUAGCCAGCCAUUUCUGCGGCGGCCCAUGUGUUAUUACAGGGGUUAUUUGCCCACACUUGCCUAGGCUGUGAAUAGUUAAUAUCCCUGAUUGCUUAGUUAAAUAUCUUUUUAGACUGAGAGAGAGGACAGGGAAGGAAUAGGGAUCAUAUAAUUUUUGUGUAAUGAACAAUUAAGUCAUGAUACCCUUCUUGAUUUAUAGUUGAUAUUUCCAGGGUAAUUAGAGUUGUAUCCUUCUGGAAAAAAAAAGCUGUUAGCUUCCUUAAUCGUCAUUCAUGGCCACACUUUAGCUGAAGUAGCUAAGGAAUAAAAAGGACUAAAGACCUUAGAUUAAAAAUAAUUAUUUUUCAAACAGAAUCUAAUUUAUGCCACCACCAAAACAAUAAGAUGAAAUUCUCCCCCAUUAUGAGAUGAGAACAUUUUUUAAUAAUAAGUCUUGACUCAGAUAUGUCUUAAAUGAGGUUAUCCAAAUGGCUGGGGAGAAACUCUGUAAUAGAAGUUAUCUUCUAUAUCUUCACUACAUAGAGUAAUAAGAGAUAAAUGCUAUAUAAAUGAAAAGUGAUACAGUUCAGAAUUAGGAAACAGGCUGGUGUGAUUUGUAUGGAAGUAGGCUUUGGAGUCAGACUCCUUGGCUUCGAAUCCCAGAUCUGGUCCUUGCUAGCAAUUACUAACUGGCAGACCCCACCUGAAUAUGCAGUGGAGGGGGGUUAAGUUCUUCAAAGGGAGGGAGGUGGUGUCCCAAGAUGAGAAACAAAAAGGAUACAAGGAGAUGGAAACAACAGAUGUCUAGGCUACUUCAAGAAUGAUAAUGUAACUGAGGGUUGGAGGGCAGGGACCAAAGGCCCACUCUCAAAUCCACAGGACAGACAAGGGCUCAGAAGCUAAAGAAUUUAAAGUAGAAGCUGAGGAUUCACUUCAAACUUACAUGAGGUGAUGGUCCACAGAACAGGCUCACAUCCAGCCUCACUAUACAACAGCAGCACCAUACUGGGGAUGUUCCCCAAGCACCUCAGACAGUGACGACUAGCCAUGAGAGCAAGCUAUAUAAACACAGUGUCCAGGACGAGAUUGACGAUUGGUUUCAGAGAAAGAGGUGGGAUGGGCCAGAGCAGAGAACCCAUGGAAUGAUCUACGGACCUCCAAACGCUUUAUUUUGACCUUGUGUUUAAUCUUGUGUCUCAUUCAUUCAGGUAUUCUCAUAGCAUACAAGAUUAGACACUAACUACUGAGUGCCUCGGUACCACCCAGCACCCCCAACCGAUCUGCAGGAGGAUUUGCUUCUAGGAAUACACACAGGGAUUCAGAUACUAUCUCGAGGGAUCUCUGCUUUCUGUUUGGGUUCCAGGUUCCCAGAGAAUAAACCAUCAAUAUCUAGGCCUCUAUUUUCCAAACAGAAUUCAAAGAAUAGUAAUUCUAGUGGAAAUAAUGGGUGCUACACAAGAGGGGUUCUAUGAUCAAACACAUUUUUUAAGCGAUUUCUACACCCAACAUGAGGCUCAAACUCACAACGUCGAGAUCAAGAGUCGGGUGCUCUACAGACUGAGCCAGCCAGGUGCCCCUAAACAAAUCUUAAAGACACCCUCUUAAAGUUACAUUUAUGUCUCUAUUCUGCAAGACUUCUCAGAGCCUUUAAGAGGAUAAUGUUCCAGGGUGUCUGGGUGGCUCAGUCAGUUAAGCAUUUGACUCUUGAUUUCAGCUCAGGUGGUGGUCUCAUGGUUCAUGGGUUCAAGCCCCACAUCAAACUCUGUGCUGACAGUGCACAGCCUGCUUGGGAUUCUCUCUCUGCCCUGCCCCCGCUUGUGCGUGCACCCUCGCUUGUGCAUUCUCUCUCGCGCGCUCAAAAUAAGUAAAUAAACUUAAGAAGAAAGAAAGAAAGAAAGAAAGAAAGAAAGAAAGAAAGAAAGCCUCAAGGGAAUGCUGCUCCCACACUAGUAACAAGAAAAAAUAUGGAUAAUCUACAAAACUCUCACUUUGUUGAGCCCAUCAGAGAACUGAGCUGUAAAGCAACCAGAGAACUGAAUUCUAAAUGAUGAUAAGCCCUUCUGAGCCGAGACACAAGACACACCAACUAUUUCUCUUCUGGCAAAGAAUAAGAAGAAUAGGCAAUUACCACAGAACUGGGCCAAGAGUCUGAGAUGAGGGUGCCAGCAUGGUUGGGUUCCAGUGAGAGCUAUGUUCCUGAUCUACAGAUGACCAACCACCUUCUCACCGAGUCCUCACAUGGCUGAGAGGGCAGACAGACAGAGACGUCUGAUGGCCCUUCUUACCGGGUCAGUAAUCCAUCAUGGGGGUCCUACUCUCAAGGCCUAAUCUAAACCUAAUUAUCUCCCAAAGGUCCCCAGCUCAGAAUACCAUUAGUGGUUAGGGCUUCAAAAUACAAAUUUGAGGAGGCAACACAAUUCUGUCCCUAGCAAGUUACAAAGAGCACUUUCCCAAUUUAGUAAAAAUUAGUUGUUUUUACCUGACAAUUUUUUGGUUCCCCUUUUUUCCUGUUAAUAUUUGCCUAGUUUUCUUCUAGGAAUUCACUUACCCACUUUCAAUUCAUGUGUGUUUCAGGUGGGGCUGACUCCUCCCAUCCCUACCUUUAGGGGUGGGGACAUGAGCAAGGCCUGGCCAACAAUCAUAUUCCACAUCUAGGCUAAACUAAUCAGUUCAGAGAUAAACACGUGUCAGCCAAGACAGUUCAAUGAGAGAAAGUCCUGGAACUUUUUAAUGUAACUACUGGGAAAGAGAAACUCUUCUAGCUCCUGAAGCUGCUAAGGCCGGAGUUGCUAACUGUGAAGAGAGACCCUGCCUGAGAUGGAAACCUCUGCGUUCUGAGGAAGGAAGACCUGAAAGAUGGUGAUGGGGUCCUAAAGACAUUGUCUGAGUGCUGGACCAUCAAGUAAUUUAACUGAACUAACAUCUCUAUAACAUUAAGUGAACCUAAGAUGCCUGGGUGGCUCAGUCAGUUAAGCAUCUAACUUUGGCUCAGAUUCAUGAUCUCACUGUUCGUGAGUUCGAGCCCUACAUCCAGCUCUCUGCUGUCAACAUGGAACUUGCAUCAGAUGCUCUAUCUCCCUCUCUCUGCAUCCGCCCGUGCCUCUCAAAAUAAGUAGAUAUUUUAAUAAAUAAAUGAACCCAAGCAUUUUUCUCUCAAACCAGCUUGCUGUUUGACCAAAUUUAAUGUUUAUUGUUUCAAAAUUACAUCAAGAGAAAAUCUUUGUCACCUUGUAAUAGGCAGAGUUCUUAGAUACAACAUCUAAAGCAUGAGCCAUUAAAGAAAAAAUUGAUAAGUUGGACUUCAUCAAAAUUUUUAAGUUCUGUUCUAUGAAAAACACUGUUAAGAGAAUGAAAAGACAAGCUACAGACUGGGAGAAAAUAUUUGCAAAUCACAUAUCUGACAAAGGAUUUAUAUCUAGAAUAUAUAAAGAACUUCCAAAACUCAAUAAAAAAAAACUAAAAAAAUGGAGGAAAGACUUGAACAGACACUUUACUAAAGAAGAUAUACAGAUGGUCAACAAGUACAUGACAAGAUUUUCAACGUUAUUAGUCAUUACAGAAAUGCAUAUUCAAGCCACAAUGAGACACUAUCUCACACCUAUUAGUAUGGCUUUAAAAAAAAACACACAAAACCUGACAAUUAGGGCACCUGGGUGGCUCAGUCUGUUGAGCAUCCGACUCUUGAAUUCAGCUCAGAUCAUGAUCACAGGGUUGUGGGAUCAAGCCCUGUGCUGGGCUUCAUGCUAAACAUGGAGCCUGCUUAAGAUUCUCUCUCUCUAUCCCUCUGCCCCUCUCCCCUGCUUGCCUGUGUGCUCUCUCUCGCUCUCUCGCUCUAAAAUAACUUUAAAAAACUGGUAAUAAUAAGCGCUGAUAAGAAUCAAGAGCAACUGGGGAGGUGCCUGUGAAGCUCAGUUGGUUAAGCAUCCAACUCUUGAUUUCAACUCAGGUCAUGAUCUCACAGUUCUGAGAUUGAACCCUGCUAUAGGGCUCUGUGCUGACAGUAUGAACCCCCUUGGGAUUCUCUCUCCCUCUGUCUCUGUCCCUCCCCUGCUCACGUUCUCUAUCUCAAAAUAAAUAAAUAAACAUUAAAAACAAACUGGGAGCAACUGGAACUGUCAUAUACUGCAGGUGGGAAUGUAAUAUGGUACAGCCACUGCAGUGGAUUAAGUAAGUGUCCCCCCCAAAUUCAUGUCCACUCUGAACCUCAUUAUGUGACCUUAUUUGGAACUAGGGUCUUUGCAGAUAUAAUUAAUUAAGAUAAGGUCAGUUGGUUAGGGAGGGCCCUAAAUCCAGUGACUGGUGUCCUCAAAAGAAGAGGAAGGACACAAA